GAAAGAGCCGAGGGAGGAGGCUGCAGGGGCCCAGUGAGGCGGGAAGACAGGCAGGACGGAGAGGAGAGAGAGAACGGGGUAAAAAGGAAGGUGUUUAGGUUGUCUGCAUUUUUAGGAAUGUGAUAUCAACAUGGCUGAAACUCUGCAGGAGUACUGUCAACCAAUGGAUUCUUGAAGAUUCAUUUGGAGGAAGACCCAGCAAAGUCUGACUUGGGCAUGUAAAGCCUCGGUAGCCAGCUGACAUUCUGUCUUUCAGUCCUGAGAUGACAGCUGCAAAUAUCCCAAUAGUAUGGAAAACCUCCCUCCCAAAGCUGCGUCAACCCAGAGCUUGAGUUAACACAAAGCUAUAACACCUUCAAACUAUGGACUGGAAGCUGUUACAAGAAUCUGGAAUUUCCAUGUUUUGCAAUUACUCAGCAAAAGAAGAUGUACAGCAGUCUUACUACAACCUGUUUCAGAUCUGUUAUACCUCAGGUAAGCAGCUCCUUGCAUGUUCUCCUGGCCCCCCCGAGGCAUCUCUUCCUAGCACAACAACCAGAUGGUAUUGGUACAGAGACCAGGAAUGGCAACCUAGAAAGUUACUGAGAACAAAACAUGUGAAGCAUCUGACACUUGAAAUAUGGGGGCCACCAGCUCUGGGGCCUGAGAAGAACUCUGGCAGCCAUACUGACCUUUGUGUAUAGCCACACAUUUCAUUUCCACGGGCUUCUUUUCUUUGUCUCACUGAUUGCUCCUUUUUCUGAGCAACCUGUUUGUAUUUUAUGGGUGGAAUAUCUCUUCUCUCUCUCUCAGUAUUUACUAUGGUUUGUUUUGUUGUUUUCAUUUUCAUCUUUUGCCAGUGCUGUCUCUGAUUUUUCUCCAAGUUACUUUUCUUAUGUUGCUGUUUUGUUUUUUCUAAUUUUCAUUUAAGACUUUUUUCAAAUGCUUUCCUAUCUCUGUCCAUUCCUAUGUAAGAGGACCUAGAUGUUUGGUGGAAGUUCUUUCUUGGAUGGCUUUCUUCCCAAGGAUCAACUGGGAAGAUGCGGCAGUGAAUGGAACUUUUUGUUGGGGAGCCAUUAAAUGACUGGGGAAGGCAGUGGAGGAUGGCCCAAGUGCUUGGGCCCUGCACCUGCAUGGGAGACCAGGAGGAAGCACCUGGCUCCUGGCUUAGGAUUGGUGCAGCGGGCCGGCCAUAGCAGCCAUUUGGGGAUGAACCAACAGAAGAAAGACCUUUCUCCCUGUCUCUCUCUCUCUCACUAACUCUGCCUGUCAAAAAAAAAAAAAAAAAAUGACUGGGUUGAGGCUUUUUCUCAACAAGGGGCCAUUCUGUUUCUCCACAAAAGAACCAUGGGCAUCUUUCCUGGGAGGGCAUAUAUUGGCCCACGAGUCAUCAGGAAAUGGGAUAAGAAGAAAUAAGUUGAAAUUCUCUUGGUUCAUUUUGGAGAUGCUCACUGUUCCUGGAGUUCCAUACCACAUCCUCUUCCACCCAGUG